rnacentral:tRNA from 1 species
AGAUAAGUAGGUUAUAAACUAAACCCUUAGACCCAUACUCUAAUUAAGUGCUCUGCACCUUAUCUG